CAGAGUUAUCUAACUCCCAAACCAUUGUGAACUUACCAUUUGUUGCCUCGGCAGAACCUACCCUGUACCUACCCGGGAACGAGCUACCCUGUAGCGCUGACCCGGUGUGGGCUACCCUGUAGUGGGCUGCCGGUGGACUACUAAACUCUGUUAUACUAUUGUAAUCUGAGCGUCUUAUUUUAAUAAGUCA
rnacentral:misc_RNA from 1 species